rnacentral:rRNA from 1 species
GACGAACGCUGGCGGCGUGCUUAACACAUGCCAGUCGAACGGAAAGGCCCUGCUUUUGUGGGGUGCUCGAGUGGCGAACGGGUGAGUAACACGUGAGUAACCUGCCCUUGACUUUGGGAUAACUUCAGGAAACUGGGGCUAAUACCGGAUAGGAGCUCCUGCUGCAUGGUGGGGGUUGGAAAGUUUCGGCGGUUGGGGAUGGACUCGCGGCUUAUCAGCUUGUUGGUGGGGUAGUGGCUUACCAAGGCUUUGACGGGUAGCCGGCCUGAGAGGGUGACCGGGCACAUUGGGACUGAGAUAGGGCCCAGACUGCUACGGGAGGCAGCAGUGGGGAAUAUUGCACAAUGGGCGGAAGCCUGAUGCAGCAACGCCGCGUGCGGGAUGACGGCCUUCGGGUUGUAAACCGCUUUCGCCUGUGACGAAGCGUGAGUGACGGUAAUGGGUAAAGAAGCACCGGCUAACUACGUG